rnacentral:pre_miRNA from 1 species
CGGGGGAGGCCGGAUACUGGGCUGUGUCCCGGCGCCCUGUGCUCCCAGUUUGCGCUGUUGGAUUCGCGCUCCCGGCCGCAGCCCCUU